CUCCUCCCUAGGAUUUGGAGUGACUAAAAAAUUAGCGGAGGAGCUGAGAGGUAAAAGUCAUAUCACGCUAUCCUGGCAAGUCUUAACGGACCGUGAACAAAAUUAGGAGAGCCGAAACUACCAGCUAGCAGACUGCUUGGCUUAAAAACCAGUGCCCAGACCAGUGCCUGACACAGCAGAGGUUGCAGCGUGAUUUUUCCAGGGGAAAUGUGAACAGAAUCUCUUUGCCUCAGGAAGGAAUGUUUCAACUUGGAGGAAGUAGCUGCAUAACCCAGGUGUUGAACACGUUUUUUGUUAAACAAAUGAGUAGGGCGAUUAUCACAAGGCCUGGCAUAUAGCAAGCGUUUAGCGUCUGCAGCGAUCUGCCUCUUAACGUUUGUAUCUGUACAAAUUCACUCCUAUGUGAACAUGUGGCACAGUCAGUACGCAUGACGGCUUAGCCAAAUGUAAGACAACAAAUAAAUAGUAAUUAACAGAAGGAUACAGUCUAGUUAGUUUUUGAAAUUAUCGAAUGCAUGUGAAUUGGCUUCCCACCCGAGCUGGAAAAUAAUCUUACGAAUAAACAUGUUCUAAUGCGUUGAGUCUUUCGUUUGAAUGAGCUUUCUGUUCAGUGGAGGUGGCAGAGAAGUAGCCAUGUGGUGGUAUUUUAGUAAUCUGUAUUAUUUGAACACAUCGAGAGGUUGUGGUAAGCAAAUGUAUAAGCUGUUACUAUUUAACUCGUACAUGCGGUCUGAGCUCUCACAGUAUACCUGGCUCCAGUGUAUAUUUUAAAAGGAGAUCUGGUGUCUUGCCAGGCAGAGUCACAAGUUUUGAUUUAGGAAGGGCUACGGCUGGUUUAGGUUUCGUUAAGUCCAGGCGUUACUUCAGAGCCCUCCCUGACUCCCUGGCAUGUGUUGGGACAUUGGUAUUGAUGGCGAAGGAGACCAUGAGGUGUGGGGGAGGGGCUGGAAGGCCCCCAGCUUCAGCUGCUGGCUUCCCAAGGCUGCCUCUUCUCCAAAGGAAACUGCGGUGUGCCUGAAGGAAAGCAAAAUUCAAGAUGUAGAAAAUCACUGCCUGAGACGUUUGCGUCACGGAACCACGAUUGAAACGUUGAGAACUGAGAAACGCCUCUCGUAGGCAUGAUAAAGCCUGUCUCUCGAUCAGUUUGACUGCAGAUUCAAUUGCAGAGGUUGACUUCCCUUACUCUAUGCUGCUCAGUGUCAGCAGGACAGAAGAUACACAUUUGCCAGAUGGUUGCAUCGACACUGCGAUGUUCCGAAGGCGCAUGCUCUUCUAGCUUCUCAAAUAUAGACAUUUUUUUAAAUAUUAAAGCUAGGGAGACACUUGAAGAUGAAUCCAUGAACAGAACGGAUAAACGUCACUACCUGGUCACUUCCAUCAUUACUACCUGGCCACCUUCUUUAGCUCCGUCAGAAUCUGUGUGUUAGGCACCAUCUUUGAAUGCUCACGCUGAGGGAGUGUCUGACUCCUCACUACCGCACAGCAUCAACCCUGUACCGAUGUGUGACUCAUCUUGCUUUACUCUAGCUGUUGGCACUUAAUGUUCUCUUGUAUUUUAAUAAUCCCAGCGGCAUGGCA